rnacentral:rRNA from 1 species
ACUCAAAGGAAUUGACGGGGGCCCGCACAAGCGGUGGAGCAUGUGGUUUAAUUCGAUGCAACGCGAAGAACCUUACCUGGUCUUGACAUCCUUGGGAGCCUGCAGAGAUGUGGGUGUGCCUUCGGGAACCGAGAGACAGGUGCUGCAUGGCUGUCGUCAGCUCGUGUCGUGAGAUGUUGGGUUAAGUCCCGUAACGAGCGCAACCCUUGUUCCUAGUUGCCAUCGAGUGAAGUUGGGCACUCUAGGGAGACUGCCGGUGAGAAGCUGGAGGAAGGUGGGGAUGAGGUCAAGUCAUCAUGGCCCUUAUGACCAGGGCUACACACGUGCUACAAUGGGCUGUACAGAGGGGAGCGAACCUGCAAGGGGGAGCGAAUCUUAUAAAGCAGUUCGUAGUUCGGAUUGGAGUCUGCAACUCGACUCCAUGAAGUUGGAAUCGCUAGUAAUCGCGGAUCAGCAUGCCGCGGUGAAUACGUUCUCGGGCCUUGUACACACCGCCCGU